GUUUCUCCGUCGGGAUGGGAUUUUCCUGUUCCGUGCCUUCCUCUCGUCAUGCACUUUGGAACUGCUGCCUUGAAGAAGCACAGAAGAAUCGUUGGGGGUUAACUGUCCCUGAGCUGAUGAAAAGCUCUGCUGCCACCUUGGCGCCACAGGAAGUAACCGGAGGUCAUCACAAUAACUGCAGCUGUAGACUGAACUUUGAACAGUGA